rnacentral:rRNA from 1 species
AUACGUAGGGGGCGAGCGUUGUCCGGAAUGAUUGGGCGUAAAGGGCGCGUAGGUGGCCCGGUAAGUCUGGAGUGAAAGUCCUGCUUUUAAGGUGGGAAUUGCUUUGGAUACUGUCGGGCUUGAGUGCAGGAGAGGUAAGUGGAAUUCCCAGUGUAGCGGUGAAAUGCGUAGAGAUUGGGAGGAACACCAGUGGCGAAGGCGACUUACUGGACUGUAACUGACGCUGAGGCGCGAAAGUGUGGGGAGCAAACAGGAUUAGAUACCCUGGUAGUCCACACUGUAAACGAUGAAUGCUAGGUGUAGGGGGUAUCGACCCCUUCUGUGCCGCAGUCAACACAAUAAGUAUUCCACCUGGGGAGUACGGCCGCAAGGUUGAAACUCAAAUGAAUAGACGGGG